GAUGAAGAACGCAGCGAAAUGCGAUAAGUAGUGUGAAUUGCAGAAUUCAGUGAAUCAUCGAAUCUUUGAACGCACAUUGCGCCCCUUGGUAUCCCGAGGGGCAUGCCUGUUCGAGCGUCAUUUCACCACUCAAGCCUGGCUUGGUGUUGGGCGACGUCCUCUUUGGGGACGCGCCUCGAAACGCUCGGCGGCGUGGCACCGGCUUUAAGCGUAGCAGAAUCUUUCGCUUUGGAAGUCGGGGCCCCGUCUGCCGGAAGACCUGCUCGCAAGGUUGACCUCGGAUCAGGCAGGGAUACCCGCUGAACUUAAGCAUAUCGAUAAGCGGAGGA
rnacentral:misc_RNA from 1 species